UACGUAGGGCGCAAGCGUUGUCCGGAAUUAUUGGGCGUAAAGAGCUCGUAGGCGGCCUGUUGCGUCCGCUGUGAAAUCCCGGGGCUCAACCCCGGGCCUGCAGUGGAUACAGGCUGGCUAGAGGCAGGCAGGGGAGAUUGGAAUUCCUGGUGUAGCGGUGGAAUGCGCAGAUAUCAGGAGGAACACCAAUGGCGAAGGCAGAUCUCUGGGCCGUAACUGACGCUGAGGAGCGAAAGCAUGGGGAGCGAACAGG
rnacentral:rRNA from 1 species